AUUGGACCAAGAAAUUGGAUAGGUGGAAUACCACCCUAAGGUGGAAAUAUUUUUGCUACCACGUGAUAAAUUUACAUACUGCUUUUUACAUCACCUAUGAGGAAAUUAUUAUGGUACAAAUAAAAAAUAAAUAAAUAAAAUAAAUUUAAUUAAUGUUAAUAGGGUUGUUUCCAAUUUUUUGAAACGCUUGUAUUACGUUCUAUAGUAACUAAAAGUUGCCCUAAAAUUCGACUCUUAUACUAAAAACGGCUUUAAAUAUGUUAAAUUAACAAAAUAUAUUUUGACGGAUGCUUUCGCGCCCAAAACGCUCUUUGAAAAUUGUGUGACGUCACAGUUUACGGUUUGACACAUAACUACAUACACACGUAGAAGAUACGAGCUGUCAACUGACAUUUGUCAUUUGUUGUUUAUCGCCUACCUGUCAACAGUGUCAAUCAGAGAGUUGUGACGUCAUCAGAAUCUUCAAUGACGUUUCGAGUUUGGUCACGUGAUGUGUGCCAAAAGAUAUUUUAAAUUCAAUAUUUACAAAAAUAUGGUCAUUACAGGUCCCCUAAAAGUAGUUUAACAUGUUCUUAUAAUCCAAAAGAAUUUAUUGGGAUACAAUUCUGCCCUAAGAUUUGUAGAUGGAAACAACCCUAUUAAAUUAAAUAAUUUAACCUAAGAAGUAUGCAAAAAGAGGAAAAAAGUGAUCCCUCCUAGUAGGGAAGAAAAGUGCUACUUUGAUCCUUCCUAGUGGUGAAGAACAACAAAGUGUUCUAAAAAAAAUCGGGUCCACAUUAAGCUCGACCACGUAUUAGUCCACUCAUAGAACUAUCCACUAUAUAACAUACAACUUAAAUGUGGACUCGAUCCUAACUUGAUUUCGAGUACAAAAUUUGCAGACAAGAGUCUAUAUUUCAACCCUAACCCAUUUUAUCGAUUAUCGCAAGCGUGUAGCGUACUACACUAAUUAAAUUGCUUAUGUUGGUACUAUGGUUCUUUGACAGUUCUUUGUCGUACAUUUUGGUAAUGAUUUGCGAAACAAACGGAUUCCACUCGCUAGUAUGGAAGUCCCGUCUCUUAAAACGUAUAGUGAUUAUAUGCUCUUUGGUGCACGCUCCCAAUAUUUGCAACAGUUCUGCCUAAGGAGAUUCUGUUCCUUGCCUUUACCUUCCAUACCAUCACCAUUACUAAAACCAUCAUGGAGUUUUUCGAUCAGAUCACGUGUCCGUCUUACGAAUUUUCAAUCUGACGAAUCUGUCGGUCAUGUGACCUGUCGCGAGUUUAACAUUUUGCCCCCAUCACAAAAAGUGCACAGCGCCGCUAAAGAAGUUUUCCCUUCAAAAAUGUUGAAGUUGAAUUUGGUACCUACAUCGCGGACGACGAAUUUCCAAAUGUCAGCUACUAUAAGUACAACUUCUGUCCGACUCUCAGUGGAUUUCGAGAGAACUCUCUAUUGGUCCUUUGGCUACCAUUUUUUGAGUCGAAGUAACCCGUGAUUGAAUUUUAUUAUUAUUUUUGCAGUAGCUACAUCCAAGCUACAACUAUCGGUAAAGAAUAGGUGAUUCAACCUAAUGAUACUGGUUCUUCAUAUCGGCUAACACGCAACUGAAGUGAUUGAAAAACAUAUACGUCAAAACGACGUCUGACCUAAUCAUUACAAAUAAGUAAACAUACUUACGUCAAAAUGGUCAAAAUAAAUAAACAAUGCAACUAAAAAAAUUAAAUAUCAUAGUCCACGCUGUGUAUGGAUUACCUAUUCUUGGAUUCAUCAUGAAUUACCAUUAUGGCAAACAGUCAUAUUGCUACGGAAUCUACAAUGACUUGAUGAACCUUAGUCCAUAAUGCUACUCAAAAGUAAAGUUAGGAGAGACCGGACGCAACGUGUCCACUAGACUCCUAGAACACAUACGGAGUGUGAAGAAGAUGGACUGCAGCAACUCCGCAGUGGCAGAGCACGCCCUGGAUACAGGCACGUCGCACUAUCUUCGAUUUGACAGAUUUUGCGAAAUUACUGGACGUGAAGCGAUCGAGAUUGGGCGGCACCCUAAUUUCAAUCGAGACAGCGGCUGGGCUGUGCCGCCAGCAUGGAAGCCUGUAAUCCUGAAGCAGAAAGCCAGUAAGUGUGGUGACAGUAUAGUGGACAUAGUGAGUUCGUGCUGUUUGUCGCUACACGUGUUAAGUGACCCAAACCCAAACACCACACCACUAUGCCCGCCUACUAAGACAGCACAGGAUCUCCCCCAACCCGUUUUCGGAGAUAGUCUUGAUGAAAUUCAAAUGUACCAAUUUUAGCCAGAUAACUCAUUUUUGAUUCACUUAUUUUCAUGUUAAAUAAAAUAAGGUACAUAAAUUAAAUCUUUCAUAGAAUAAUUAAUAAAAGAGGGUGUCCGUCGGUACCAGAGAAUUUUAAUUGGCUACUUGAUAAUGUUGGCACAGCAAAAUUAAAACUCGUCCGUGGACACUGCUAACAGACUAGUAUCUUGGCAUGGCAUCCUUGUUUGAUGACAUUUUAGUUUGAAUAAGCGUUGAUAACACCUAAAUAAUAAUUAGAGGUACAAUAAUCCAGCCAAACAUUUAUAAAUGUGUUAUAGUAUGAAGUGGACGGAGCUGCGAUAUCUGAAUCAAGAGCGAUCGGGGCCUGAGUUGACAAUUUGGCACAAUUUGUAACAGGCGGAGAGUGCUCGUGCUGAGGGCUCUCCACGCCGCCGAUGAGGCUGUACAAUCACGGCUUUUGUCGUCGACACAAAGGGAAAAUAAUUACUGAAGGUCACCUGCUAGACAAAAUCUCGUUAUCUUCUUUUUCUCCAAUAUACUCGGAAAUAACCUAACUUAUUGUAUCACAAAUAGCACGGAAAGUUUUCCAUUGUGGUCAAACUCAAAUAAAAAACUAAUUCAUUA